UACAGGGGGGGCAAGCGUUGUUCGGAAUUACUGGGCGUAAAGGGCUCGUAGGUGGUCGACUAAGUCAGACGUGAAAUCCCUCAGCUUAACUGGGGAACUGCGUCUGAUACUGGAUGGCUUGAGUUUGGGAGAGGGAUGCGGAAUUCCAGGUGUAGCGGUGAAAUGCGUAGAUAUCUGGAGGAACACCGGUGGCGAAGGCGGCAUCCUGGACCAACACUGACACUGAGGAGCGAAAGCCAGGGGAGCAAACGGG
rnacentral:rRNA from 1 species